rnacentral:rRNA from 1 species
GAUGAACGCUGGCGGCGUGCCUAAUACAUGCAAGUCGAGCGAACAGACGAGGAGCUUGCUCCUCUGACGUUAGCGGCGGACGGGUGAGUAACACGUGGAUAACCUACCUAUAAGACUGGGAUAACUUCGGGAAACCGGAGCUAAUACCGGAUAAUAUAUUGAACCGCAUGGUUCAAUAGUGAAAGACGGUUUUGCUGUCACUUAUAGAUGGAUCCGCGCCGCAUUAGCUAGUUGGUAAGGUAACGGCUUACCAAGGCAACGAUGCGUAGCCGACCUGAGAGGGUGAUCGGCCACACUGGAACUGAGACACGGUCCAGACUCCUACGGGAGGCAGCAGUAGGGAAUCUUCCGCAAUGGGCGAAAGCCUGACGGAGCAACGCCGCGUGAGUGAUGAAGGUCUUCGGAUCGUAAAACUCUGUUAUUAGGGAAGAACUAAUGUGUAAGUAACUAUGCACGUCUUGACGGUACCUAAUCAGAAAGCCACGGCUAACUACGUG